rnacentral:rRNA from 1 species
GAUGAACGCUGGCGGCGUGCCUAAUACAUGCAAGUCGAGCGAACAGACGAGGAGCUUGCUCCUCUGACGUUAGCGGCGGACGGGUGAGUAACACGUGGAUAACCUACCUAUAAGACUGGGAUAACUUCGGGAAACCGGAGCUAAUACCGGAUAAUAUAUUGAACCGCAUGGUUCAAUAGUGAAAGACGGGUUUGCUGUCACUUAUAGAUGGAUCCGCGCCGCAUUAGCUAGUUGGUAAGGUAACGGCUUACCAAGGCAACGAUGCGUAGCCGACCUGAGAGGGUGAUCGGCCACACUGGAACUGAGACACGGUCCAGACUCCUACGCGAGGAAGCAGUAGGGACUCUUCCGCCAUGGGCGAAAGCCUGACGGAGCAACGCCGCGUGAGUGAUGAAGGUCUUCGGAUCGUAAAACUCUGUUAUUAGGGAAGAACAACUGUGUAAGUAACUAUGCACGUCUUGACGGUACCUAAUCAGAAAGCCACGGCUAACUACGUG